ACCCGGGAAUUACGAGCCCAAGCUUAAAACCCAAAGGACUUGACGGUGUCCCAUCCCCCUAGAGGAGCCUGUUCUAUAAUCGAUUCCCCCCGAUCCACCCCACCGCUUCUUGACCACCCAGUCUGUAUACCUCCGUCGCAAGCUUACCGUGUGAACGCACCUAGUAAGCUAAAAGAUUCAUCACCCACACGUCAGGUCAAGGUGCAGCCUACGAAGCGGAAAGAAAUGGGCUACAAUCUCUACUUUAGAACAAACGAAAAACUGUAUGAAACACAGUUACUGAAGGCGGAUUUAGUAGUAAAAAGAAAGCAGAGCGUUCUUUUUAACCAGGCACUGGGACGCGUACACACCGCCCGUCACCCUCUUCAGACAAUAAAAAAAAGUUACUAACACUACUUAAUCACACAGAAGAGGCAAGUCGUAACACGGUAAGUGUACUGGAAAGUGCACUUGGAACAAAAUGUAGCUUAACCAAAGCCUUUCGCU
rnacentral:rRNA from 1 species